UCAUCACCAUACUGUAUUAGUGAUAAAAAAGUAUAAGGGACAAUAACAAAAGUCUCCCAUCCGUGGGAGACGUUUUGACCAGUU
rnacentral:sRNA from 2 species